rnacentral:lncRNA from 1 species
AUGGUGGUCACUUGGUCCCGGUCACCGCGAUGGACCGAGCGGACAGAGCGGCCGGAUCGUCGUGGGGGUGCGGGAGGUGGCCUGGCAGGGUUGGUCAGGGCGAUGUUGGGAGAUCUUCCAGCAGAAGCUUUGUCCAGGUGGAUCCCAGGAACUCUUACGACAAAGGGUUUGUCCAGCUGGAUCUCUGGAGAUCCUCCAGGGCAGGAUUUCUGCAGGGGGAUCCCAGGAACUCUUCAACAAAAGAUGCUUUGGACAGAUCCCGGAAGUUCUUCCAGAAAGGAUUUCUCCGGGUGGAUCCCAGGAGAUCUUCCAGGGAAGGAUUUCUCCAGGUGGAUCCCAGAAGUUCUUCCAGGGAAGGAUUUCUCCAGGUGGAUCCCAGGAGCUCUUCUGGAUGGACACAGGAAGUUCUUCCAGGGAAGGACUCGUUGGAGCAGAUCCCGGGAGAUCUUCCAGGGCAGGAUUGGUUUGGAUGGAUCCCGGGAGUUGUCCUGGGAAAGGAUUUCUCCUGGUGGAUCCCAGAAUUCCUGCAGGAUUUCUCCUGGUGGAUCCCAGAAUUCCCGCAGGAUUUCUCCUGGUGGAUCCCAGAAUUCCCGCAGGAUUUCUCCUGGUGGAUCCCAGGAGCUCCUGCAGGGCCUCAAUCCCGGGGUUGGUUCGAACCCCGUUGGGAUCUCCUGCUCCAGGUGGGUUUUCCUUGGAAGGAGGAGAUUGGGACCCAUGGAUUCCCCUGGAAUGAGGGGAGUGGGAUCCACCCGGACUGGGAACUUUAGGAUUAGGAAUUCCCAGUGGAUCCAGAACUUUGGGAUCCCCAAUUCCCAACAGAUCCAGAACUUUGGGAAUCCCAUGGAUUGAGAACUUUGGGAUCUGGGAUCCCCAUGGAUCAAAAACUUUGGGAUCCUCUGGAAUGAGAACUUCAGGAUCCCUACUUCCCAACGGAUCGAGAACUUUGGGAUCCCCAAUUCCCAAUGGAAUGAGAACUUUGGGAUUUUGAAUUCUCAGUGGAUCGAGAACUUUGGGAUCCCUACGGAUCAAAAACUUUGGGAUCUGGAAUUCUCAAUGGAUCCAGAACUUUGGGAUUUGGAAUUCGCCCUGAACUGAGAACUUUGGGAUCCCCAAUUCCCACUGGAUCCCGAAUUUUGGGAUCCCCAUGGAUGGAGAACUUUGGGAUCUUGAAUUCCCAAUAGAUCCAGAACUUUGGGAUCUCCAUGGAUCAAAAAUUUUGGGACCCCCUGGACUGAGAAUUUUGGAAUUCCCAAUUCCCACCGGAUCCCAAAUUUCGGGAUCCCCGGUCCCUGCCCGGCCCCUGCCCGGCCCAGCCCCUUUUCCCAGGAAUAUUUAUCCCCUUAUUUAAAAAUUCGAGAAUUCCCAUCCCCACUCCCCCUUUUUCCCCCCCAUGGACAUUCUGCACUUUAUUCCAGGCUCUGGGAAUUUUUUUUGGGGUUUUUUUGGGAUCAUCCCAUCCCUCACCCCGCAAAAUUUGGGAAUUUUGGCCUCCCGGGAAAUUGGGAUGAGCCCUGCUGGAAAAACCCUGGAGCUUUUAUGCAAAUCCCACCACUCCCAUCCCAAAAUUCCCAAUUUUUUCCCCACUCUGAUUUUUCCAACCUCCCCCAGGACCAAUCCCAGAAAUUUUCGGGGCCAAAAUAGAAAAAAAAUAGGAAAAAAAAAAUCCCACAAGGAUUGAAAUUCCCACCAAAAUUCCCAUUCCUGGCAUACUUCGGCUCGGAGGGGAUUUUUUUUUUGGGAAUCUCCUGAAUUUUUAGGGAAUUUUUACCCCGGGACGCAGCUCCUUGGAGGUCCCAAUGCUUUUAUCCCGAUUUUCCCAGUUUUAUCCCGAUUUUCCUGCUUUUAUCCCGAUUUUCCUGCUCUUUUUCCCUUUUUUUCCCCAUUUUCCCUCCCCCCAGCUAUGCAAGAGCUCCCCUGGGAUGGAAAUCCUGGAAAAAUCCCGGAAAAAAACCCGAAAAUCCCAGAAAAAAACAAAUCCCAGGAAAGGCUCAGGAGGAGCCAAACGGACCCGAAAAGGCCCCUGGGGAAAAUUCCCGGGAUUUGGGAUCCGCCGGGAAAAACUUCGGGAUUCCCUGGAUAUGCAAAGAAUAAAUCUGUGAAAAAUGGGAUUUUCCAGAGAAUUCCCAAAAAACCACAGGGUGGGAGGAAGGAGGGGGCAGCAAAUUUUGGGAUUUGGGAUCGGCCGCGGGAUUUUUGGGAAUUAAAGGGUGGGGAGAAACUCA